rnacentral:tRNA from 4 species
GCGCCCAUAGCUCAGUUGGUAGAGCAGCUCCCUUUUAAGGAGAGGGUCGCAGGUUCGAAUCCUGCUGGGCGCA